rnacentral:rRNA from 1 species
UACGAAGGGGGCUAGCGUUGCUCGGAAUUACUGGGCGUAAAGCGUGCGCAGGCGGUUUUGUAAGUCUGUCGUGAAAUCCCCGGGCUUAACCUGGGAAUGGCGAUGGAGACUGCAAGGCUAGAGUUUGGCAGAGGGGGGUAGAAUUCCACGUGUAGCAGUGAAAUGCGUAGAGAUGUGGAGGAACACCGAUGGCGAAGGCAGCCCCCUGGGUCAAGACUGACGCUCAUGCACGAAAGCGUGGGGAGCAAACAGG